rnacentral:rRNA from 1 species
AGAGUUUGAUCAUGGCUCAGAACGAACGCUGGCGGCAGGCUUAACACAUGCAAGUCGAACGCAUCCUUCGGGGUGAGUGGCAGACGGGUGAGUAACGCGUGGGAACAUACCUUUUGGUUCGGAACAACCCAGGGAAACUUGUGCUAAUACCGGAUAAGCCCUUACGGGGAAAGAUUUAUCGCCGAAGGAUCGGCCCGCGUCUGAUUAGCUAGUUGGUGGGGUAACGGCCCACCAAGGCUACGAUCAGUAGCUGGUCUGAGAGGAUGAUCAGCCACACUGGGACUGAGACACGGCCCAGACUCCUACGGGAGGCAGCAGUUAGGAAUCUUGGACAAUGGGCGCAAGCCUGAUCCAGCCAUGCCGCGUGAGUGAUGAAGGCCUUAGGGUUGUAAAGCUCUUUCAGCGGGGAAGAUAAUGACGGUACCCGCAGAAGAAGCCCCGGCUAACUUCGUGCCAGCAGCGGCGGUAUUC